CCGGCUGCUAGGACACAAAACCAGUCAGAUCUAAGAACCAGGUUCCAAAACUGCAGACUGCCCUCUGCUCCCUGAGUGUCCACAGGGUGAGAUGGGGGAGGUAGACAGAGGCGGGGAGAGACUUCCUCCUCAGGGCAGUAAGAGCUCAGGCUGGGCCUCGGUGUGGAGCAGGGGGAGCCAGACCUCUGAGCUUUCAACAUGCAGCCAAAAAGACCUGGAGGACCACAGGAGAGAAAAUGAGAGGAACAGAGGAGCGAAUGUCUGCCUCUGAGAAGAGGUCUGGAGAAGGAGCUGUCAUGUGCAUUGAGGAUGUUCAGCAUCGUCCCAGAUCUCUACCCACUAUAAGUCAGUAGCAACCCCUCACCCUACUUGUGACAACCAGAAACAUCUGCAGAUAUGACCAAAAGUUCCCUGGGGGGCAAGUUUGCCCCCAGUUGAGAACCACUGGAUGAGGGCUAUCUGAUGGUGAAGGAUCUCAAAAAAAUUCUUGAAGAAGAGUGGUGUUGGAUGUAACAGGCUGGAGUUAGCCAAAGCUUUUUGUGCCCACUGAGCCACCGUAGGGUGCAGAACACAUCUGCAUCCCCUCUCAGAAAGAUUAUACACCAAAAGGAAGAGAAGACUCGGACCCUAAAACCCAGAGGAUUAAGUAGAAAGCUGUUUAAAGAAUAUUUUGAUUCCUGAUCCAUCUUGAAGCAGGAUUGUGAAGAACUGAGGCAGAAAGAUCUUCAUGAUCAUGGUGGACUUAACAUAAUACCUGAUAUAAUGGUAAUUUUUAAAAAUGUGAACAAUGACAAAGAAGACAAUGCAAGAAGAAAAGGACAGCUAGAAACUCCAGCCCAAACAAAAAGGGAAGGGAAAGUAACUGUAAUAUUAAUACACAGCAAGGGUCUGCAGUGAAUAGUAUUUAUGCAGUUAUAAUAAUUCAUAUUAAAUUAAUCAUAAGUAUUAAUAAAUAUAUUAAUGAUAAUCA
ensembl:lncRNA